ACCUGUCCUCAGCAUACGUCCUUCCGGCGGGUGAGUCAUGGGUAAAGGAAGAGGGCGGCCUGGAAGAUGACGGCCCGGCGGCCAUUUUUAUUGUCCCUCCUACAUUCCUGGAGCCGCUGACCCAACUAUACCCGCCUAUGGCUUCAGUGAGGAUAUAGAAAGCUUUUAACAGUGUCAGGAGAUGAAUUGACUUAAUCAGGACUUUGCUGAUACCACAGUCUUUGGCAGGACUUCGUGGCUCAUUGCUGAUCCCAGGAAAAGACUGAGAGCCUACAAAUGAAGUUUUCAAUAUUUGUGGAAAGAGAAUCAACAAAUGCUGAGUCACAGUGUUCCUGCAUUCCACAUCCUUGCUGCUGGGCCGUUGCUGCAGGCAGCCAUGGCCACUGACGCAGAACAUGCCAGGCUCCAGUGAGAGCUCUUGCUGCAAUCCUCAGCACAGAAAGAACUCUCCAGAACAGAGAGAGAGAAAGAGAGGAAGACUGUGUGGAAGAGGGCAGAGCCUUAAAAAGAGCCUUAAGCAGGCUCCAUGCCCCGUGUGGAACUUGUUGCAGGGCUUGAUCUCAUGACCCUGAGAUCAUGACCUGAGCCAAAAUCAAGAGUCUGACACCUAACCAACUGAGUCACACAGGUACCCAAAUUUUU
rnacentral:lncRNA from 1 species